GGUUGGGUUAACGUCCCGUAACGAGCGCAACCCUUGUCCUUAGUUACCAGCACGUUAUGGUGGGCACUCUAAGGAGACUGCCGGUGACAAACCGGAGGAAGGUGGGGAUGACGUCAAGUCAUCAUGGCCCUUACGGCCUGGGCUACACACGUGCUACAAUGGUCGGUACAAAGGGUUGCCAAGCCGCGAGGUGGAGCUAAUCCCAUAAAACCGAUCGUAGUCCGGAUCGCAGUCUGCAACUCGACUGCGUGAAGUCGGAAUCGCUAGUAAUCGUGAAUCAGAAUGUCACGGUGAAUACGUUCCCGGGCCUU
rnacentral:rRNA from 1 species